rnacentral:rRNA from 1 species
UGAAUAUCUUGGUAAAAAAAUUUAGGACGUCUCGCGACGAAACGCUUUGAGUAGGCACUAGCUUGUGAUCCGAAGAUUUCCUUUAAAUCGUAAUUAAUACUUAUAUAAAUAUUGUGAAUUGAAUCAUCUUAGUAACAAUAAAUAAAAUCAAAAGAGAUCUUAUCAGUAAUUGCGAAUGAACAUAAGAAUUUAGUAAUACUAAAAAUUUUUAGAAUAUUUAAAAAGGGUAAGAUAAUCCCGUAUAAAAACGUAUAGUAUUUAUUUAUGUAAUGCGUUCUAAAAAAUGCAUGAAUAUAGGAGUUCCACCUUCUUAACUAAAAAUUUUUUUAACCAAUAGUGAACGAGUACCGUGAGGGAAAGAUUUACAAUCUCGUUAGAGAUUAAAACUUUGAAAUUGGUUGUUUACAAAACCUUGAAAUUCCUUAUAUAACAAGAUUCCUUUUGCAUAAUGAGUUAGUAAGUUAAAAAGUGUAGCAAGACAAAAAUUUUUUCGUAGAAAGUUAUAUUUUUUAGACCUGAAGCCAAGUGAUCUAGUUGAGAACAAGUUGAAGCAUUUUUAAGCAAAUGUUUAAGACUGAACUCGUGUAUGUAGAAAAAUACUGAGAAGAUUUUUAGCUAGGGGCGAAAGACCAAUCAAACUUGGCGAUAGCCGGUUUUUCACGAAACGUAUUUUAGUACUACAUUAUAUUAUGUAAAUUAAAUGUAAAGUUCCUUUUGAACCAGGGGGUGUAAAAACUUACCAAUUUCAAAUUAACUAAGAAUUUUAACUUAAUAAAUAUAAUAGACAGUCUUUUGGCGAUAAGGUCAUAAGACAAAAGGACAACAAUCCACACUGUAAGUUAAGAUCUCCAAAUUAUAUUUUAAUAAAAAUUUUUUUUAGAAACAAAUAAAAGAAGGAUAGGCUUAGAAGCAGCCAUUCACUAGAGAAAGCGUUUUAGCUCAAUAUUUUUUCUAUAGAGAAUUAAAAUUAACCGAGUCUACAAGAUAUAUAUCGACACUGCAGGUUUAACUUUUGAACGGUAGUGAAACGUUCUGUAUACAAAAAGUACAAUGAAAAUUAACUUUUAGUUUCAGAAGUGCUAAUGCUAACAUGAGUAGCGAAAACCAUGUAUAAUCAUGGUCAUUUUAGUGAGGUUUUCAAUGUUCGUUUAACUGCAUUGAGUUAGUCGGUCCUUAAAAAAAAGAAUGAAAAUUGUAUUUGACAGGAAUCUAUACUAAUUAUAAUAUAUUUAAUUUUUCAAGGUAUUAAUUUUUAAAUAGGUUAAAACUUUAUAUUAAACAAAAAUUCGAGAAAAAAUUAUAAUUUUAAACCGUACUUUAGCCAACACAGGUACUAUAUAAAUGAAUGGAUAAAUUAUAUUGAAGGAAUUUGGCAAAUUAACUCUGUAUGUUCGCUAAAAAGAGUACUAAUAGGAUUAUUAGUGAAAGUAACAAAGAAACAACGACUGGUUACCAAAACCACAGAACUCUGCAAAUUAAUUUUAAGACGUAUAGGGUUUGACGUCUGCCCGGUGCUUAAACUCUAUAAACUUUUGUAUUAGCUGAAGUUCAAAAGUUAAGUAAACGGCGGUUCUAACUAUAAGAAUCCUUAGGUAGCGAAAUUCCUUGACGGGUAAAUUCCGUCCUGCAUGAAUGGCGUAACGAUUGUUUCACUGUCUCCAAUAUAAAUCCAGCGAAAUUACAAAACCUAUGAAAAUGUAGGUUUCCCCCAGCAAGACGGAAAGACCCUAGAUCCUUUACUCUAAUCUUAUAUUGUAAAUAAAAAAAGAUAAUGUAGAAUAUAUGGGAGUAUACACAAAUUAUGAAAUACCAUAUUAUCUUCUUUUAUUUACUUUAUUUGAUGCUAAAAUUAAAGACAGUAUAAGAAGGGGAGUUUACUUGGGACGAGUACCUCCUAAAAAAUAACGGAGGUGUACAGAAGGUAGAUUAUUUCUAAAGUGUAAUGACAAAAUCUGCUUAACAAAUAAGAUCGAUAGAUCAAAUUGUAACGAAAGUUAGUCAUAGUGAUCCGACAUUUGAGAGUGGAAUUAAUGUCGCUAAACAGUUAAAAGGAACUCUAGGGAUAACAGAUUUAUCGUGAUUUAGAGUUCAUAUCAAUGUCACGGUUUGAUACCUCGAUGUCGACUCAUCUUAUCCUGAAAUUGCAAAAGAUUUCAAGGGUCUAGUUGUUCGCUAGUUAAAAAGGUACGUGAGUUGGGUUCAGAACGUCGUGAGACAGUUCGGUCCCUAUCUGCUGCGGGUAUAGAAAAGUUUAAAAGUUGUUUUUAGUACGAGAGGACCAAAACAAAUUAACCGCUUGUGUACUGAUUGUUAAACCUAUAAUAAGUCAGUUAGCAACGUUAAUUAAUAUUUAAGUAUUGAAAGCAUCAAAAAUACAAAAUAGAUUUAUUUAACUUUUCAAGAAAGCUCUUAUAGAUUAUAAGAUAGAUCGUUUCAAAAUAUGUUAUUUAGUAAUAAAU